UCACGGUGUCCUGUGGGCGGGGCUACGCAACACAACAUGUGGUUCUCAAACUUUCUGAAUCAAAGGCCCACUAUUGUCCCAAUAUUCAAAGAUAUUUCUCCCAAAAAAAGCUAGUUUUUACAACUUUUUCUUUGUUUUCAUUUUUAUUAGCGGUGGUGAUAUAUUAAAUGAACCGCAGCUGAAUUCACUUUGUGAUUCUAGAACUAUCGCGAAUGACGUCGCGUGGGAUAGGGGAUGUUGGCCCGGUACUGUUGGACACUGAGGGGCUGUUGUUGGAGCUGGAUGUGGGGAAAAAGGAGGGGAAGUAGGGGAUGGCGGCCAGCAGCAGAGGGCUCAUCUGGGGACUGUCGUCCGAUGGUAAGGGGAUCACUACAUCAUCCUGGUCCCACACGUGGAAGGCAUUAGAAUGGGACAGAGUCAGAGCCGUGGGCAGACGGGUCGGUCUGAUGCUCGAUAUGUCGUCUUUUUCUGCAUCGUCUUCAUUAGGGCCAAGCACACAGUCUACCAGGCGAUGCAAGGAAAAGACAGUGAUGAGAACAUAUAUUUUAAGGUAGAAAGCUUUUAACAGGAGUGUAAAAAUACUAAAAAUUCUACUUGAAUCGAAAUAUGGAUAUACUAUAAUUUUACUGUAUUAAAAUGCAAAAAUGUUGAGUCAAAA